CAUUUAGUGAUAGUCUGACGGUAACAUACACUUGUAGUGGUACUCUAGUGGAUAAUUAUGCCUGAAUUUAGGGUGGUGGUGGCUGUCAAAUCUAUCAUGGUGGAGAGGUGCUUGAGCAUAGACAGUGGCCAUGGGAAACAACAUGUGUCAUAAGCCUGACUGUCAUGCACCCUUGUCCUCAACUCUGCCUGAGAGUGGGGAACCUUUUGGUCACAUUCACUGGUAACUUAUAGUCAUGUCAUAAGCAAACCUUUUUUGAAGAGAUUUUCCUAGUUGCCCCUUUGGAAACAGUUAUUCUGAGCAACUAAUGAUUUCUACAAGGAGGAUACAGACUUGCAUGAGAGUGCCACAUAGCAUAUGUUUUAGACUAUCUCCUCUUUCUGUGAUAAGUGAGGACUAGAAAAUAAAUAAAUGAAAGAGUAAAACUACCAGUGUGUACUGAAAUAUGAAUUUCCUAUAGUUUUUUUGUUGUUGUUUUUGUUUUUCGAGACAAGAUUUCUCUGUGUAACUUCACACUUGUCCUGGAACUCACUCUGUAGCCCAGGCUGGCCUCAAACUCACAGAUAUCUGCCUGCCUCUGCCCCCAAGCACUGGGAUUAAAUGCGUGUGCCACCACCACCUGGUACCUCCUGUCAUCUUUAAAAUAGUCACCUCAGGCCCGAGUGAUGGGAUUAAAGGGGUGCGCCACCACCGCCUGGCGAAUUUCCUAUAGUUUUAAUGUGUCACAUUAUUCUGAUGCCUUUUACAUUUUAUUCAGCCGUUUACAAAUGUAAAGGUUGUCCUUAACUUAGAUGCUGUACAAAAACAAGUUGUUACCCUGAGUGCAUUUUCGUUACAAAAAACUUUGAGGUAGAGAGAGUAAGGAGACUGAGAUGCUAAUUCCCUUCAUCGCUAAGGGUCACAAGUCCUUACAAUUAUUAUUAUUUUUAAUGCUCUAUUUUAUUCUUCUAUUUGAGUUUGGGAACCCAAGAGACAAAACCGUAUACAAACAAGGAACCUCCAGCCAGCACAGCAGGGUGAAGUCCCAGAAGAGCAGUGUCUCUAGGAAGGAUUUAAGUGCCCGGUAUGCUCAAAAUUUGUACCUUCAGAUGAAAUGGAUUUGCAUCUUGUGAUGUGUUUAACAAAGCCAAGAAUAACCUAUAAUGGGAUUAUUUCACAUUUCAGCUGCUUUUGUUUUCUUCUGCUAUCAUUGAGGGGUCAAGAAAAAGUAAAGCUUCAGAGGAUGUUCUGAGUAAAGAUGCUGGGGAAUGUGCAAUAUGCCUUGAAGAAUUGCAGCAGGGAGAUACCAUAGCACGACUGCCUUGCCUGUGUAUAUAUCAUAAAGG